rnacentral:rRNA from 1 species
AAAACAUUUCUUAAUAUUUUAUUAUCAAGWAUAACCUGCUCAAUGAUCAAUUUAAUAGCCGCAGAAAUUUAACUGUGCUAAGGUAGCAUAAUCAUUAGCUCUUUAAUUAAGAGCUCGUAUGAAAGGUUAAACAUUAUAUAUACUAUAACCUUUUUAAUAAAUCAAAAUUUAAUUAAGAAUCAAAAUGUUCUUAUUAUAUAAAUAGACGAUAAGACCCUAUUGAACUUUACUUUAGUUUAUCUGGGGCAGUUAACUAAUAAUAAUCUUAAUUAA